GACGAACGCUGGCGGCGUGCUUAACACAUGCAAGUCGAACGGAAAGGCCCUGCUUUUGUGGGGUGCUCGAGUGGCGAACGGGUGAGUAACACGUGAGUAACCUGCCCUUGACUUUGGGAUAACUUCAGGAAACUGGGGCUAAUACCGGAUAGGAGCUCCUGCUGCAUGGUGGGGGUUGGAAAGUUUCGGCGGUUGGGGAUGGACUCGCGGCUUAUCAGCUUGUUGGUGGGGGAGUGGCUUACCAAGGCUUUGACGGGUAGCCGGCCUGAGAGGGUGACCGGCCACAUUGGGACUGAGGUACGGACCAGACUCCUACGGGAGGCAGCAGUGGGGAAUAUUGCACAAUGAGCGGGAGCCUGAUGCAGCAACGCCGCGUGCGGGAUGACGGCCUUCGGGUUGUAAACAGCUUUCGCCUGUGACGAAGCGUGAGUGACGGUAAUGGGUAAAGAAGCACCGGCUAACUACGUG
rnacentral:rRNA from 1 species